rnacentral:rRNA from 1 species
CCUACGGGCGGCUGCAGUGGGGAAUAUUGGACAAUGGGGGGAACCCUGAUCCAGCCAUGCCGCGUGUGUGAAGAAGGCCCUCGGGUUGUAAAGCACUUUCAGUGAGGAAGAACGCCUGGUGGUUAAUACCCAUCAAGAAAGACAUCACUCACAGAAGAAGCACCGGCUAACUCCGUGCCAGCAGCCGCGGUAAUACGGAGGGUGCGAGCGUUAAUCGGAAUUACUGGGCGUAAAGCGCGCGUAGGUGGCUUGAUAAGCCGGUUGUGAAAGCCCCGGGCUCAACCUGGGAACGGCAUCCGGAACUGUCAAGCUAGAGUGCAGGAGAGGAAGGUAGAAUUCCCGGUGUAGCGGUGAAAUGCGUAGAGAUCGGGAGGAAUACCAGUGGCGAAGGCGGCCUUCUGGACUGACACUGACACUGAGGUGCGAAAGCGUGGGUAGCAAACAGGAUUAGAUACCCUAGUAGUC